rnacentral:rRNA from 1 species
AUUGAACGCUGGCGGCAUGCCUUACACAUGCAAGUCGAACGGCAGCAUGGAGAGCUUGCUCUCUGAUGGCGAGUGGCGAACGGGUGAGUAAAGCAUCGGAACGUACCGUGUAGUGGGGGAUAACGUAGCGAAAGUUACGCUAAUACCGCAUACGCACUGAGGUGGAAAGCAGGGGAUCGUAAGACCUUGCGCUAUACGAGCGGCCGAUGUCAGAUUAGCUAGUUGGUAGGGUAAAGGCCUACCAAGGCGACGAUCUGUAGCGGGUCUGAGAGGAUGAUCCGCCACACUGGGACUGAGACACGGCCCAGACUCCUACGGGAGGCAGCAGUGGGGAAUUUUGGACAAUGGGGGCAACCCUGAUCCAGCCAUGCCGCGUGAGUGAAGAAGGCCUUCGGGUUAUAAAGCUCUUUCGGCCGGGAAGAAAUCGCACAGGCUAAUACCCUGUGUGGAUGACGGUACCGGCAUAAGAAGCACCGGCUAACUACGUGCCAGCAGCCGCCGCCG